GAUGAACGCUGGCGGCGUGCCUAAUACAUGCAAGUCGAGCGAACGGACGAGAAGCUUGCUUCUCUGAUGUUAGCGGCGGACGGGUGAAUAACACGUGGAUAACCUACCUAUAAGACUGUGAUAACUUCGGGAAACCGUAGCUAAUACCGGAUAAUAUUUUGAACCGCAUGGUUCAAAAGUGAAAGACGGUCUUGCUGUCACUUAUAGAUGGAUCCGCGCUGCAUUAGCUAGUUGGUAAGGUAACGGCUUACCAAGGCAACGAUGCAUAGCCGACCUGAGAGGGUGAUCGGCCACACUGGAACUGAGACACGGUCCAGACUCCUACGGGAGGCAGCAGUAGGGAAUCUUCCGCAAUGGGCGAAAGCCUGACGGAGCAACGCCGCGUGAGUGAUGAAGGUCUUCGGAUCGUAAAACUCUGUUAUUAGGGAAGAACAUAUGUGUAAGUAACUGUGCACAUCUUGACGGUACCUAAUCAGAAAGCCACGGCUAACUACGUG
rnacentral:rRNA from 1 species